rnacentral:rRNA from 1 species
AUACGUAGGGGGCGAGCGUUGUCCGGAAUGAUUGGGCGUAAAGGGCGCGUAGGCGGCCUGUUAAGUCUGGAGUGAAAGUCCUGUUUUCAAGAUGGGAAUUGCUUUGGAUACUGCCGCGCUUGAGUGCAGGAGAGGUUAUCGGAAUUCCCGGUGUAGCGGCGAAAUGCGUAGAGAUCGGGAGGAACACCAGUGGCGAAGGCGGGUAACUGGACUGCAACUGACGCUGAGGCGCGAAAGUGUGGGGAGCAAACAGGAUUAGAUACCCUGGUAGUCCACACUGUAAACGAUGAAUGCUAGGUGUAAGAGGUAUCGACCCCUUUUGUGCCGGAGUCAACACAAUAAGCAUUCCGCCUGGGGAGUACGGCCGCAAGGUUGAAACUCAAAGGAAUUGACGGGG